rnacentral:rRNA from 1 species
ACACAUGCAAGUCGGACGGUAGCACAGAGGAGCUUGCUCCUCGGGUGACGAGUGGCGGACGGGUGAGUAAUGUCUGGGAAACUGCCCGAUGGAGGGGGAUAACUACUGGAAACGGUAGCUAAUACCGCAUAACGUCGCAAGACCAAAGUGGGGGACCUCCGGGCCUCACACCAUCGGAUGUGCCCAGAUGGGAUUAGCUUGUAGGCGGGGUAACGGCCCACCUAGGCGACGAUCCCUAGCUGGUCUGAGAGGAUGACCAGCCACACUGGAACUGAGACACGGUCCAGACUCCUACGGGAGGCAGCAGUGGGGAAUAUUGCACAAUGGGCGCAAGCCUGAUGCAGCCAUGCCGCGUGUAUGAAGAAGGCCUUCGGGUUGUAAAGUACUUUCAGCGGGGAGGAAGGUGCUGAGGUUAAUAACCUCAGCAAUUGACGUUACCCGCAGAAGAAGCACCGGCUAACUCCGUGCCAGCAGCCGCGGUAAUACGGAGGGUGCAAGCGUUAAUCGGAAUUACUGGGCGUAAAGCGCACGCAGGCGGUCUGUUAAGUCAGAUGUGAAAUCCCCGGGCUUAACCUGGGAACUGCAUUUGAAACUGGCAGGCUUGAGUCUCGUAGAGGGGGGUAGAAUUCCAGGUGUAGCGGUGAAAUGCGUAGAGAUCUGGAGGAAUACCGGUGGCGAAGGCGGCCCCCUGGACGAAGACUGACGCUCAGGUGCGAAAGCGUGGACCUC